CAAACAAAAAUAAAUCAUUCAAAAACUUUUCGGCUUUUUAUAAACAACAAAAUUCACCUGUAAUUACAGUUAUUUUUCUUCAAACCAACAGACACUUUGAAACUUGACUAACUCAAAAUGUCAUUUCCCUGUUGCGGCUGCUGCGGCUCUUAUGGUUGCCCGACGGGACCUUGCGGUCCCUGUGGUCCAUGCGGGCCAUGUCGUCCGGGUGGACCUUGUCAACCUUGUGGACCAUGUGGUCCUUGUGCGCCCUGUUCAUGCGCGCCGUGCGGCGCCUGCUCACCGUGUGUACCAUGCGGACCAUGCGGACCCUGCUGUGGACCAUGUAUAACACGCGGUCCGUGUGGACCUUGCGGCACGUGUGGGCCUUGCUGCAGUCCAUAUCCAUGUUGUUGCAAGUUCGGUUGUCCAUGCUCCAAGUGUCCGAAUCCAUGUCGUUAUCUGAAACCAAAGUACUGAUUGGUAAUUGGCGACUUUGGGGGAGCUAAGGAAUGCGGCUGAUAAUGUGUGCGACAACCGUGAGGUGGAAGAUGGGUUAAGCGACGUUUUGCGUGGAAACUCGAAUUUCAGAUGUGGAAAGUACGGCAAAGCAAGGCGCGAACCGUGGACGUAUGAGUUGCGGAAGGACGGAUUUUACGGCAGGCGUCUACUACACAGCCAUGUGUCCUAUUUUGUGCAUUUGAUAUUUUGUAUGAAGAUUUAAUAAAAAAAGAUUAAACAGAUUUUUCGAAAAAAAAAAAUAUCUUGAAAAAAGACUUUAGUACUCUCUUGAGGGCGGCAGAAAGAGAAGGGUAAUAAUCUAAGCAGCUUUCGAAAAUGAUUUCUCACACAAACAUAAAUUUCACAUCAAAAGUUUUCAAAAUUUCUAAACGUAAACACCACACACAAAUUUUUUGAGCGCAGAAACUUGCGACUUAAAAAUUUCUACGUUAACUAAAAAUCCUCUGCAAGUCAUCUAAUGCAGUGCCCUUGCUGGUGCUAUCGACCAACUCCCUGUGGUCCUUACGGUCCCUUCGGGCCGUGGGGUUGUAUAGGACCAUGCGGAGCUUUGGGUCCAUGUACGCCAUACGGUGCACCAUGGGGUUCGUGUCAGCCGUGUGGCAGUUCGUGUAUGCCAUGCGGUCGUUCGUGUUACGGACGGCGUUGCUGUUAAUGAAGCAAUGGAGCCUCCGAGUGUAAGCCAAAAAAAAUGCUGUCUGUUGGGAAACUUAGGAAGAGAUCGUGUCGGAUCUUGUCGAACUGUGCAUUGAAUUGGGUGAAUUGAACGUACAUCAAGUUUCAUGUGUUAAAAUUUUAAAAAGUGUUAAAGAACGAAAACAAGAAAAAACUUUUGAUCAACCCCUUGGAUCAAACACAUUUUCGCACACAAAAAAAUUUUAUUUUUGAUAUUUGAGAUUUUGUAAAUAAACUUCCAUUAAAUGUGCAAAAUUCUCAAAAAUCUAAAUAAGCUGGAUAUUAUUUCCCAGGGUUCGUACUGGUUUUGGACGCGCUUCUUUCACGUCCGAGUCCGUUGCCUCACAUCGAACUAGCUGUCCUAGUCUGGAACAUCUCACUCUCAAUGGAUAGUUUACUAAGUAGAAGUUUUGCGACCCUACACAAGCCCUUAGCACCGAAGCGCCGGCUCGGGUGACGGAGCAGUCAUCAGUCGGAGCUGACACCGUAAGCUAGGAAUGCGACUUUUUGUGCACCAUGAGACUGCUUCAACUACCACUUUCUACAUUGUAUCGACUUAUUCUUAAAGCUUAGCUCAUCUACGCUCUAACUAAAAGUUCACCCUGUGAUCUUAUCCUCUUUAAGUAGGCCGCAUGGUGCCAAAGACGUCCUUAGCUGAGGUGGAAGUCUCUAGUAAUUCUCAUGAGACCGAGUACCCAUAAAGUCUGAAGAAAAAGAUGCGUAUUUUUAUCAUCUCUCGAAGAAACAUGGAGCAACAAAUAGUCAUGUAUGGGUUGGAGCGCUAAGAAAAAGUAUAUUUUCUUGGGUCAAGUCGCUCCAAAAUGGCCUUAAGGCUUUGACAUUUCACAAUUAAUGGGACCUAAGUAGAGAUCAAGGCUCAGUUGGAUUAAUCACGGGAGCCGUCAGAUAUUUAUGCACCUCCCUAACUACCUCUCGUCUGUCCAACAAUAAUGUAUAUCAUUUUUCUAUGAGUCUGUUCAGCUCGUUCCUCUUCGUAUCACCGCUAGAUCAUCUUCUUACUCUAUGCCAACUCAAAAUGAAUGCGCACCUGGAAGCGAGUUAAAUAUCUAGAUGGCCAGAUAAUAAGAGGUGAUCCGCAGGGCGAUGCUUUGCCCGAACUGCUCUGUAAGCUCACAAUAAGCUCACUUUUAACAGGAACAGAUCGGUAUAGUGGCAGAGUCUCAGAGCUAGGAGUGAUCGUAGACAACAAAAGUGAGCUGGACAGAAUAAAUUAUUCACAGUCACGAGAAGUCAUCUAUUGGUCUCUAUACAUGCUUGAGAGCUUUGUUAAGAGCCUUCAUCCCAGAAUUCAUAACUCCAUCUCUCUGGGGUAAGGACAGCUUUCAUUUAGAGCAGAAAAUGACUUGAUAAAUAGACUUUGAGACAAAACUAAUCGCCGUCACUCAAUAAUAUUUAGUGAAGACUGCUCUUUAAAGGUUGUUUGUGGCGGAAAUUUCUGCCUGUUUGGGUCGCUUACGUAGAACUUCUAAAUUGGUUUAGACUGCCACAUUCCACCGCAGGUUAAUGAACUAUGUAAGGGACCAUCAAGUAGAUUCUUCUCGAUAAAGCGCGCAUCGUAGUGGCAUAUCGGGUGUAUACUGCUCCUCAAGAAUUUAAGGUAAACUCCCAUAACGACCGAGUUGCUUGUGGUUUAGCUCUGCUUUCCGGCACCGACUGCAGGAUUCAAGUGAUGAGAUGGGUAAAAGCGAAGUGAGCUGAUAGAGCAUUAAGUUAAUCCACCCUCACGAGGCCUACUGAGGUGCAGUACCCAUCAGACUACAACGGCUGGAGUUCAAGCUCAAAGCAGCCGCUCUUCUUAACUCUCAGUGCGACGCAACAACUCACCAGCGGAAACAAAAAAAAAAAAAACUCCCUUUAAAGUCACAAUGUGAUCUACUGCGUAAUUUAUUGGCCAAGUUUGGUACGUGUCUUCAAACACUUAAACUCCAUUUUGUACAAUAAAUAUAAUAUAUACAAAUGUGUUUUCUUGUUCUUGUUUGCACGGUGAAUGGAAAAAAACAUUCAGAUCUCUCGCAGAUUUCCACAAAUCUUCAGUGUUUGCUGCGUUAACUGCUUGCAGGCACCAACAAUAGACGCACCGCCGCCAAGUGGCUA